GUGGGGAAUUUUGGACAAUGGGCGAAAGCCUGAUCCAGCCAUGCCGCGUGUGUGAAGAAGGUCUUCGGAUUGUAAAGCACUUUAAGUUGGGAGGAAGGGCAGUAAGUUAAUACCUUGCUGUUUUGACGUUACCGACAGAAUAAGCACCGGCUAACUUCGUGCCAGCAGCCGCGGUAAUACGAAGGGUGCAAGCGUUAAUCGGAAUUACUGGGCGUAAAGCGCGCGUAGGUGGUUUUGUAAGUUGGAGGUGAAAUCCCCGGUCUCAACCUGGGAACUGCCUCCAAAACUGCAUGACUAGAGUACGGUAGAGGGUAGUGGAAUUUCCUGUGUAGCGGUGAAAUGCGUAGAUAUAGGAAGGAACACCAGUGGCGAAGGCGACUACCUGGACUGAUACUGACACUGAGGUGCGAAAGCGUGGGGAGCAAACAGGAUUAGAUACCCGUGUAGUCC
rnacentral:rRNA from 1 species